rnacentral:snRNA from 1 species
AUGCUCAGCAAUAAAAGUGAGGCUUAUCCCCUGCACUCUGAAUGUGCUGACCCCUGCGAUUUCCCCAAAUGUGGGAAACUCGACUGCUUAAGUUGUGGUAGUGGGGGACUGCGUUUGCACUCUCCCCUG